UCCUGUAACAUUUAGAUUACUAUAAUACCCCUAAUUCUUCUUUGUUUUACAUUCUGCCCUUGCCCCUAUCUGGUGCCACGUUCUCCUUGCCAUUAGCUCCCCUCUCCUCUUCACUCCCAAUCCGGUGCCCUAAUUCUUUGUGUUGUUCUCGAGCCUGUGUGGCAGGCGAGCUUGCUGAAAUCCUCAAUUGAUUGUCACAAUUCCCUUCUCGAAUUCAAGUUAUGGAGAUCUCUGUGAGCUGAAGACGGUAAUAAGUGAAUAACAAUUCAAAGAAUGGUGACGCUAAGGAAGCGGAUGAAGAUGAUGCUAACACCAAUUAUCCCAAUUUCCGUAAGAUUCGAAUUGUGGCAUGCAGUGUUUUGAACACGAAACAACUUCCCAAAUCAGAGAACUUGCUGAUAAGAUAGCUGGUCAUAUUUUGACACUAAGUCUUCAAAUGUAUGGUUGUUGACCAGAAGAUUUGAAGUUACGUUGUUGAUUUGGACCAGCAAAAGAAUAUGGUUAUGGAACUUGAUGACCAUCUGAUGCGCUGUGUACGCGACCAAAAUGGAAAUCAUGCAUCCCCAAAAGUUCAUUGAGUGCAUACCUGAAGAUUAUAUCUAGCUUAUCUUAUCAACUUCCUAUGAUUAAGUUGCAAAUUUGUUAACCCAUCCAUAAGGUUGUCAUGUUAUCCAUGUUUAACAAUACUAACACUUUUAUUGUCUCUUGUUGAUGCAAAUGUUUCUAAGCUGUACAACUGAUGUUAGUGGGAUAUAAUGUGAAUCUUGAUUGGUUAAUUUUGAUUCUCAGAGUUCUGCAACAACCCAACAACUCAAUGUAUAUGGAUGAGAUUAUGCAGUGUGUUGGUAUAGGAUAGGUACGGAAACUAUGUUGUUCAGGUUGGUCUCAAUGUUGCAACAAUGAUGUACAUUUCCGUACAUGCGUUUUUUUUUUUUGUCUUUAUACUCAUUUGAACAAGGGCCUGGACCCUGGUAAAUUGGUCGAGGUUUUCAGGCUUAGGAAUUAAUGUUUAUCCCUCUGAUAAUAAGUAGAUGCUAAUCAUGGCAGUAACUAUAAGAGAUCUUUGUCUUAUUCAUAAUCUCAGGGACCUUAUUACUUGGUGGUACUUACGUGCUAAUUGGUUCGUCACUGUCAGCCAUGUCACUUUGGACUAUGAGAAAGAAAACUUAACACGUGUAUUAGACCUGACCAACUAGCGAACUUGAGUUUCAUCUGUUUUUUUUUUUUUUCUGAUAUGAGGGUGAAACCUGACUAUUUUCUUGGUUCUUUCUAUUUUGACAAUAUAGAAGUGACCAUUAAUUUGUCAUAUUGUUUUGAAUGCUGAAAGAUUAGGGGUAGGUACUGUGGGUAGAAUGAACACCCUGAUCAAUGUAGUGAAUUGGACAAUGGUGAUUAUUCUAAAAUGGUUUAGAGGCUAGAGCACCUGUCUUGCUGAAGGGUAGAGUAUAUGAGGAGGUUGUGCUUAUUCUCAAACAACUAUUCAUGUAAACGUUUUGUGUCAAGAAAUUGGUUAUGAAACUGUUUUCCUUUGUCUGAGAAUGUUUCUACUAUCUAUAUGCAGCUAUGCAAGCUCUUGUUCUAGCUCUUAUGAUGGGGAAGUUUACAUCCAUGAGAUACGCUUGUAAAACUAAAGCCUAAUUUGAUUUUGAAGUAGUUGUUUAUUCUAAGGUGUGUAUGUGUAUCUUUUGAAUUGUAGAAUCCUGAUGUGCCUAAUGAAUUUACUACACUAUUAAAAUAGGGAACAUGAAACUUUUGCUGCUGAUUGAACUGGAGUUUAAUUCAUAGAGGACGGUGUUCCUCCUUGAGUGUCUUGAUUUUUUAGGGUUUAAUUUAGGAGAUAAUUGAAAGAGAUUUCUAGGGUUUCUAUCUUCUUUGUUUCUCUCCACUAGAGCUGGCAAAAAUUGACCCAACCCACCAACCCAAUCCGAACCCAACCCAAUAAUAAAGGGUUGGGUCAAGAUUUUUAACCCGUUUAAUUAAAUGGGUUGGGUCAGGUUGAAAUUUUCAACCCGAAAACAACCCGUCUAACCCGUUUAAGUGCAAGCAAGUAUGUAAUAUAGAUAUGUAUAAUGUGAUUUGAAAGAUUUUAUUUCUCAUUUUCCCUUCAACAUUGAAUAAUUAUUUGACGUUUUGAUUCAUGUCAAAUACAUAUUGAAAAAUUACUUUUUGCUAUGAGAUAUGCCAUAACAAAAUCACCUCGCAAUUCUAUAGUCAAAUCAAUUUACACUUAAAAGUGGGAAAAAAAAAUUAAAAGGGUCAACUUCAGGUCAACCCGUUUAUAGUUGGGUUGGAUUGGGUUGAAAAUCUCAACCCGUUUAAUUAAACAUGUCGGGUUGGGUUGGGAAAAUCUCAACCCGUUUAUAAAUGGGUCGACCUGAUUUCGACCCAACUCAACCCAUUGCCAGCUCUACUCUCCACCUUCCUUCAUCCAAUGUUGAAUUUUGAGGUUCAAUAUUGGAUUUGAAUAUGGUUUUGAUUGACUAAUUUUUUGCUUCGUUUUUGAAUCUUUACAAUUGUAAAUGUGAAUCUGCUUUAAUAUCUUUGGAUGUUACUCUUUAUGAACAGAUUAUUAUCGUGUCUCACUUUUGUUACUUGCGUAUACUUUGCAUCACUUGUUGAGUUGUUGGUAGUUUAGAAACUGUUGUUUUUAUUGAACAGCAAAUACGUACGUGAUGGGUAAAAAUAAAGUGGGUCUGUUGUUUAAAUAGAAUGUUAAUGAAAACCGAACAAUCUAACUGCUUCGAUUGUGUUGUUUGUCAGAGGGAAAAGUAUAAUGGAUAUCUAAUGCACUUUCUGAAAUCUACGACUAAUAUGAUCCAACAUCUAAUGCACUCUCGGAGGUCACAUAUAAAUUUAUUGAACAAGCAUUACUAAAUUCUAUUAAAAAGUAUGAUUAUAAUUGUGAUGGGGUACAAAUUUGCAGGUUUUUGAACUAUUAGGUGAGCUUUGUGUCCUUUUUUUUGCACCAUCUUCCCAUUUAAAUGGAAGUAGUACUACAAGUUAAUGUUAUCGUUGGACUCCUUUUUGUUUGUUAAUACAUUUCAAUUUCCUACUAACAAGGCUAAAGAAGAAGCACUAUAAGGGGUCAUCAAUUGAGAACAUAAAGGUGAACUCAAGAGUGGAGAAAGAGUAUAUGAAAUCUGCUUACUCCGCAAGCAUCGGAAUAAGUACACUUGAAAAUGGAUUCCCACCCAUGAUUUUUGGUCAUCAAUUAUAGUAGAUCUUUUUAAGCUCUACUGGUUUGUUUUUUAUGGCUUAGUAAUAUAGCUUUUGUCGGAUAUAAAGGAACUUUAUUUGUAAACUUCAGCUUAUUCAGAAUGUAUACUAUGUAUAUUUCUUGGAGUUGGCACUGCAUAUGGAGAUGACUAUUAUGUUUGCAAGUGCAUUUCUCCUCACUUUUUCUUUUGCUGUUGUGAACAGAUGCUCUGAA